ensembl:lncRNA
GGGAGAUACACGUCGCCAAGUGCUAUUAGCUCCUCCGGAGGUUGCGAGGGACAAAAGCCGAGAGUGGGACUCGGGGGAAAACAGAGGCGUGUAUUCUUAACGUUGCUGAUGGUGAGGAGCCAUCCUCCCGUGCAUGGGGGCUCCCACCGUACAUCUGGCACCCACCUCACAGGUGAACCUUCCCGCUCCUAAAUGAUGACUGAUUCAUCCGAGAAGGAAAAGAUCUAUGUGGAGAACAGAAUGUCCUGGGAUCAUUUUUUCUUCUACUUUUCUGUCUGAUCUCUUCCUUGCCAAAUUCUGAGUCUAUGGAAAAAUUGACCCAAUCCUUUGUGUGUCGUUAAUAAAAUUAUGAUUUAAGUUUUGUCCCCCA